rnacentral:SRP_RNA from 1 species
GUGUCGGCCCUCCGCGACGUGAAGCCGUGAACCCCGCCAGGCCCGGAAGGGAGCAACGGUAGCGGUACUAGCGGGUGCCGGAGUCAGCUGAUACGGG